GCUGCAAGCUCGAAGUGUGGCUGCAGCACUUCUCGCUCGUAACGUGAAACUUAAAAACACGCCAAGGAGUGGAUGCAAGUGAACUAUCAAUCUACUGAAACAGAAGCGGGAAAUGUAUUCGAAGACGAAAAUGCUCGCGCGACCUGUGCGUCAGACCCGGAUAAACGCACGCGAGCUGACAAAAUCCUGAGUAGCUGUUAUUCAACAUAAACACAUUUCCGCACACAUGAAGAUGGAUGACGAUAGUUCAUCUUAAAAUGAAACUUAUGUUUAUCAGCUUACCCCCAGGCCAUCCAAGAGAUGCUCUUAAGAACAACGCCCUGAUGUCCAAGAUCAACCAGCAAGAAGCUGAGAAGGCACUGCCAAAAUGGUUUACUGGGGCAAGGGACAGAGGAGGACAGAGAGCAUCAAGAAUGCAGAAAAGGAUGUCUGUUUGAGAAAGGUUAAAACUACAGUUGUUGAUUUGAACUGUUGUAGUUCUUUAAUUUUUCUUAAAGGAAAACACAAUCAUUUUUCAAUAUUUACCAUGUUCUUCCCUCAACUUAGAUGAAUUAAUACAAACCUCUCUUUUCUCAAUGUGUGCACUUAAAGGUGGGGUGCACAAUUUCUAAAAAAAAACGUUUUGGAAAAGGGAGACAGGCCGACUAUCAAAACACACGUGUAGCCAAUUAGCAGCAUGUCUACUAAAUGACAUCGUUGCCUGGGUUGCGUAUGUGUGGGGCGGGUCUAUCAAAAGAAGGUCCAGAUUCUAUUAGGGUAAGGGUGUGUUUGUUUAGAUGAUUUCAAAUAUCAACAUUGGCUUUCAUGCACCCUGCCUUUAUUUGUUGUAAAGUGUGGCGUGAAUGUGUUAGCAUUUAGCCAAGCACCAUUCAUUCAUUAGGAUCCAAACAGGGAUGAAUUUAAUAGCCACCAAACACUUCCAUGUUUUCCCUAUUCAAAGACUGUUACAUGAGUAGUUACACGAGGAAGUAUGGUAAAAAAUAUAACUAUAUUGUAUGGCGGAAGAGCACUUAGUUUGUAGCACUCGACCUUGGGCACAGUAACAUCAUCACUCCUGACUACUCCCCCUCUUGCUUAAACUACAGUCAACAUAACCAACACGCCUGUACUAAUGUUAGUACAUUGAGCAGA